rnacentral:rRNA from 1 species
AUGUCUGGGUACAUGUUACGUCGGUUUGUAGAGCUCAUUGCUGGUGGAGUGAAGACGGAGAAGGGUUUUAAGGAGGUGCACCUAAACCAGGUGGCUAAGAAUUGUAGUGAGCAUUUUGGCCUUUCCAUAACAGAGACCCAAGUGUACAACCACCUCCGCAAGUGGCGUGCUAGGUGGGCGAAGAUAAUUAAGCUCUGA